rnacentral:rRNA from 1 species
UACGGGGGGGGCAAGCGUUGUUCGGAAUUACUGGGCGUAAAGGGCUCGUAGGCGGCCAACUAAGUCCGACGUGAAAUCCCCAGGCUUAACCUGGGAACUGCGUCGGAUACUGGAUGGCUUGAAUCCGGGAGAGGGAUGCGGAAUUCCAGGUGUAGCGGUGAAAUGUGUAGAUAUCUGGAGGAACACCGGUGGCGAAGGCGGCAUCCUGGACCGGCAUUGACGCUGAGGAGCGAAAGCCAGGGGAGCAAACGGG